rnacentral:lncRNA from 1 species
AUAAACAAAGUGUGAGGAAACUGAAUAGGGAAUUUUUGGUUAUUAAUGUUGAAGAACAAAAUUUUGGAUUAAGCAACUAGCUUAUUCCCAUAGAAACAAAUCACUAUGUCUUGCCAACCUAGGUUACUCUAUUUAUGUUGGGUAAGAAGGAGAUAAUCAUACAUAAACAAUCAAACUUUGAUAUGUUUAAAAACAAAAAUCUAUAACUCAAUUUUUAGUUGGUUGUGAUGCUUUGCUUAUCUAAAUUACUUCAAGAGAUUUAAAUCUAACCUAAAAGCAGUAGCUAGGUCGUCAAUCGAGCAGUAAGCAACAAAGAUUUAUAUAGAUGGAUAACAAUAAACGGAAAAA